rnacentral:rRNA from 1 species
UACGAAGGGGGCUAGCGUUGCUCGGAAUUACUGGGCGUAAAGCGCACGUAGGCGGCUUUCUAAGUCGGGGGUGAAAUCCUGGAGCUCAACUCCAGAACUGCCUUCGAUACUGGAAAGCUCGAGUCCGGGAGAGGUGAGUGGAACUGCGAGUGUAGAGGUGAAAUUCGUAGAUAUUCGCAAGAACACCAGUGGCGAAGGCGGCUCACUGGCCCGGUACUGACGCUGAGGUGCGAGAGCGUGGGGAGCAAACAGG